GCUGGGCAUGGUGGCGCAUGCCUGUAGUCCUGCUACUUGGGAGGCUGAGGCAGGAGAAUCACUUGAACCCAGGAGGUGGGGGUUGCAGUGAGCCGAGAUCGCACCACUGCACUCCAGCCUGGGCGACAGAGUGAGACUGUGUCUCAA
rfam:Gorilla gorilla gorilla genomic chromosome, chr5, whole genome shotgun sequence